rnacentral:rRNA from 1 species
AACAGGAUUAGAUACCCUGGUAGUCCACGCUGUAAACGAUGUCGACUUGGAGGUUGUGCCCUUGAGGCGUGGCUUCCGGAGCUAACGCGUUAAGUCGACCGCCUGGGGAGUACGGCCGCAAGGUUAAAACUCAAAUGAAUUGACGGGGGCCCGCACAAGCGGUGGAGCGUGUGGUUUAAUUCGAUGCAACGCGGAGAACCCUACCUACUCUUGACAUCCAGAGAAUUUGCUAGAGAUAGCUUAGUGCCUUCGGGAACUCUGAGACAGGUGCUGCAUGGCUGUCGUCAGCUCGUGUUGUGAAAUGUUGGGUUAAGUCCCGCAACGAGCGCAACCCUUAUCCUUUGUUGCCAGCACGUAAUGGUGGGAACUCAAAGGAGACUGCCGGUGAUAAACCGGAGGAAGGUGGGGAUGACGUCAAGUCAUCAUGGCCCUUACGAGUAGGGCUACACACGUGCUACAAUGGCAUAUACAAAGAGAAGCGAACUCGCGAGAGCAAGCGGACCUCAUAAAGUAUGUCGUAGUCCGGAUUGGGGUCCGCAACUCGACUCCAUGAAGUCGGAAUCGCUAGUAAUCGUAGAUCAGAAUGCUACGGUGAAUACGUUCCCGGGCCUUGUACACACCGCCCGUCACACCAUGGGAGUGGGUUGCAAAAGAAGUAGGUAGCUUAACCUUCGGGAGGGCGCUUACCACUUUGUGAUUCAUGACUGGGGUGAAGUCGUAACAAGGUAACC